rnacentral:lncRNA from 1 species
AAUGCUGUCUGCAGCAGAUGAAAGCAUUAGUUGGACUCCAUUGAAUAAUUCUGCUUAGUGAACUUUAGCUCCACACACUGUAAGACAUGUACAAUGAGAAUCGUGUUUACUUCUUAGAGGGAGGAAAACCUGAAGCGCUUCUUUUUAGGUGCUUCGAAUUGUCUCUACAGAUACAAAAUGUCUUGCCAGAUAGAUUUGGUCUAGGCACAGGGACAACGUAUACGAAAAGUCAAGGGUAUAUGGGUUGAAUACAAGAAAUUCGAGACAGUGUGUCCAGGAGUGAGAGAUGCGGUUGCAUACCAGCCUGAUGCUUGCUCACUGAGGCCUUGGUUAGCUGUCUGCAGAGUGAGAAGCCACAGAUGACUUCCUACGGAGGGCUGUGGUGAGAGUUGAGGUCAAUGAUCUAGAUAAAGACGUCUGUGAACGUCAAGUGUACAACUCAAUAUAGUGCCAUUUUGUCUCCUCACUGGGAAAUUGAAUUCUGGUUUUCCCAGGGCAUUUAAAAUGGAUCCCAGAGUAAUGAAAUAUCAAUUCUCUUCGUCUCUUGAGUCCUUUUUUGUAGUCUUCAUUUUCACUUUUGCUCCUUAAGUGUUAGUCUGAAGGAAUUCUGUGCCCACAGUGUAGACUCUUAAAUUUCCCAUGUAUGGUAUUAUGCUCUGAAAACGGUCUGUACAGUAUUUGCAUAGGCCCCGAUUUCUCAGUUAGGUUGUAAUAUGUCUAGCAAAUAUUGCUCCAAAAUAGCUCCUUUUAUUUUGCAAGGUCAGUGUUACCAAUGGAAGAUUUAAAAUUCUUUUAGGAAGAUGGAAGGUAGUCUUUUCCAGUUGAAUGGUUCUUAUUUGUUUAUAUCACCCAAGCAAUUCACUGGCUGUGUUCUUCAGCUGGAGUAGACUCAAGCCCAUACAGACAGCUAUCUUCUGAAAAUAUCUGUUAGCAUUCUUCAUUUGAAACAUUCUUACAGUUCUGUCAGAGCAAUUGAAGCUUGGAGGUAGUGAGUUUUUGAAGAGGCUUCCAGUUGACGUUUGAUGCCCCAUAUAACAGUUUCUAGUCAUGUGGAAAGCAUUGCCAAGUUCCCAGGGUCAUAGUCCGUCUCCGUGGACAGGAGCUCAGACGGCAUGCACGGGAUCUCAUCUCAGUUCAGUUUUCAGCAUCCAUGUCUGACGGUUCAUAACCCUCUGUAAUUCCAGCUCUAGGGAUCCGAGGCCUCUGGUCCCCAUGGGUAGCCUCGCAUGUCUCCCCCACAUACACAAAAUGUAAGAGAAGUCUUUAGAAAAACAGAUCACUAUUGUGUUAGCGAUAAACAGGGACUCAAGGCAUGCCUCAAAGCCUCUAGGAAGACAGGAUUUCAUUCAUCUAGUCUUGAAUUAUGUGAGGAAACGUGUGCUCUGCAUGGCUGUGCGUGUGCUUGGGCCAGAACCCUGGAAACCACAGGUAGAGUUUCAACUGUUUUCUUAGAAAGAAGGCAAAGUGAUUUGCCAUGGUCACUAAUUCAGUUAGUGGUGCAUCUAGGAAAGGCAUUGUUGUGUGCUUAGUGAUGCUUCCUGUGGAGCAAGCCCUGAGCUCAGGAUCUCUAGUGACACAGCAAGGAAUAAGGGCUCUCCAGGGUAUUCGACUCCAGACGUCUAGAACGUACAGCGAAGCUUCUCGCUUACCAUCGGAUGCUAACAGUGUUAUUAUUACGUGCCUCGUCAUUAUUUUGAAGAAGGGAGCUUUCUUUCUCCCGUAAUAAUGGCUGGCAGUCCGAGAAGGAAGUUUUUGUGUCCAGUUUCACAUCUGGGAAGAUAGAAGUUAUCCUCAUUAGGACCCUUACUGAACAUUAUCAAGAAGCCCACCAAACAAUGCAACAGGGAACGUUAAAAAUCAAAUUGAUGGCUGUUUUGUGGUUGGAGGGUGGUUUCUUAGAGACUUAAAGAGUCUCUCACUACCCAUUUGUUACUAGCUGGCUAUCGACAGCCUCCUGCUGUCAUUGGCCUGAUUCUCUCUUCUAUCUUGCCUUGCCACUGCUCCAGGGAUGCUGGGGGGUGGGGUCCAACUGACAAGAGCAUCAUCACAGUCCUGGUCAGGGUUCUCUGGCUUGCUGGAUGAACCUGCAGUGUCUGCCAGGGCUGUGGUUCCAGUGAGUGGAUCCGGUACUGUCCACUUAUCUUUAUGUUCUGUUCAUUUCAUGUUCGUGUGACUGUAACUACGCUUCAUUAGCCAACAGAAUAGAAUGAGUAAUUUUUGGUGAACAAUUUUUAAUUUUAAUUAGAAGGGGGAAAAUGCACUAACUGAGACAGAAGGCUUGGCUUAUGAACCAGAAUAGGAAGAUCCUAAAGGUGGGGUGAAUUUUAGGAUUAAGAUUAUGGGGAGAGACCGGGAAAUUUAGGCAAAGGUUCUUAUAUAUUAAAUGUCCCUUAGACUAGCUAAGAAGAAUAAUUUGCUGUUUGCACCUCUUAUAGUUACUUUACCAAUUAAACAACUAAUAGCCAAAUAAGUUUGAUUUUUCUGCAAUCUACUCAACUAGUCAGGAAACACACAUUGCAUGCCAUUUGGCCAGAGUUGUCAGUAAGAAAAUAUUAAUGAGAAAAUCCUGGCCAAUGAAGAGGACCCUCCCUAGGGGUGGUUUUGACUUUCCUAGGUUAAAGUGAAAUAGGAAUGGAAAUUUUCAAUGAGAAGAGUGUAUAUCUUUCUAUAUGUCCUUGAAGGCAAGUAUUGCAUCCUAAUUAUCUUUGUAUCUCUAGAGUGGGGAACAGAACCUGGCUCUCAGCACUGUACAGAGGUGUUUGCUGAAGGGCCACUUGUAGAAAAUGAGCUCAUGCAGAAAAUGAGAAUGUUACUUGAUUCAUUUUGCCCAAUGACAUCUGUCUUUUCAUUAGCCCAGUUCUGGCUUAAGAUGGCAUAUUAGAGAAGUUGUCUGGGCAUCUCUCCUGGAUUAUGAAGUUCAUUUUCUUACAUAAAUAUUUAAAAUGUUAACACCAUAUCUGAGAAUCAUGUGGAGAGGUGCAAAGGUUUUCCGAGGGUUAUCCAAGAACUAAUAUCAAAUAUCUAGCAGACUAAACAUUUCAAGCUUUCAAAACUCAACCUAAGUUCUAAGUUAGGUUGACAUUUCCUUUUGAAAAACAGACGUUUUUCCUAUCUUUGUAGAUGCUAUAGGUUAGUGGAAGGGGAAAAGGAAACAAAACAAAACAACAACAACAACAACAAAACAACCAACAAACUAAAAUACCCAAAAAACAAAAACCACCCCCCAAAUC